CAAUAGCGUAUAUUAAAGUUGUUGCGGUUAAAAAGCUCGUAGUUAGAUUUCAGUCCCUACAGACCGUUCUGCACACGUGCGGCAUCUGGUACAGUAGGGAUUUUACUUGGUGUUCGUGUUGGAACCUGAUAGUUCUACACGGCUUCCAGGGCGUUUACUUUGAGGAAAUUAGAGUGUUUCAAGCAGGCAACUGCCUUGAAUAUAUUAGCAUGGAAUAAUAGUAUAGGACUUUGGUUCUAUUUUGUUGGUUUCUGGGACCAGAGUAAUGAUAAAUAGGGAUAGUCGGGGGCAUUCGUACUUAACUGUCAGAGGUGGAAUUCUUGGAUUUGUUAAAGACGAACUACUGCGAAAGCAUUUGCCAAGGAUGUUUUCAUUGA
rnacentral:rRNA from 1 species